rnacentral:lncRNA from 1 species
ACGGAAGCUUGUAACAUCACGGGUUUCUUUGAUGAUAGUGAAUGUGAAGUAGGAUUGUAUUGUAUCUUCGUUUAUAGAUAUUUUUUAGUUACAACUCAAUACCAAAUUCUACAGUAGGGGUUCUUGUGGCAUCAACAGCUAUUGUAAUAAUGAAUGUAUAUUACGAUUGUAUUGUGCCCUUCGGUGUUUUCGUAUUUAUCAUGCAUACACAACAAAUCAUGAAAAUAAACUACAUUCGGCAUACUCAAAUAACACUGGGGUCUGGGACUAUUUUAUGGUGUUGUCGAUAUACUUUGUGAUUUAAAGUUACUGAUCUAUGGUCUGGUGUCAUAUUAUGGUCUAAUAUUUUUUGUUUUGAUUCUUUCUCUGUUGCCAGGAAUAGAUGUCGAUGAUGCCUACUUGCUUGCCAGCUACAGUGAUGCAUGGACCGGUGAAGCAAGCACACAUGCAAGGCUAGCCCCAUGUAUCUUCCUUGGGUGCAAACAUCAUCUACAAGUAUGAAAAAUGUAACACCUCUCUGUGUUGUUUUGCUCCUCUUCUCUCUGCAUCCGAGAAAAUUGGUGCUUAAUAUGCUAUUGAUUUACAGUGUCUGUUAGUUAACACCAAGCCUAAACUAUUGCUUUGUUUUUCCUCUUUAUGCCCCAAGUUUUACUAGCAACAAGCUCAACUUCAUGCUUUGUAGGAAAUAAGUACAUGAUUGUUUAUCCUCCUGUGUAACAGUUUAAGUUUGUGAGUUGAUCCUAUGUUCGUGUUAGCAAGUCUAAUUAGGCGUGUUCUGAUGAUAGUGAAGAAGAAAAGUGUCUUCUAAUGUGGUGGUGCCAAACAAAAGUUUUAUGCUUAUGUUGAGCUUACUUUUAAUAUGUGAACAUGACAAUUUAGAGGCUAUACUGAAGUUCCACUCAUUUUAUUCUGUGUGUUGAGCUUACCUUUGUAUGUCAGGAUUUUUUCUUCAUCUGUUACCCUUCCUUUGGCUGUAGUUUAUCUUUGUAUAGAAACCAAUCUUGGUGUUCUUCCUAUUUGCAUUUGAUUUACAUUUCGAAAUUCCCUAGCACAACUAUAUAUAACAAUGUCGGUAUGUGUUUUCUUAUUUUAGUGUCUAUAGUACAUUUGCAUGAUGUUGAAUUAUGUGCUACAGAAUAUACAUUAGCUGAUUUAAACUGCUAUUUUCCUAUGCCUAAUCAAAUGCCCUUUGUUUUUGCAGUAUGCAUACCCAGGUCAAACUUGCGAUCAUGGUGAAGGUGCUGAUCUAGGUUUCCUAUCUUCAGAAGUGAAAUGUUUGCUUGCUACCUUCUUUUGGGUACUGCUUUCUAAUCAAGUUCUUGAACACAAGAGUUACGCAUACAAAUCAUGUGCUAUUUAUGCUUAGGUUUAUGCACUGAUAGUCAUCUUCUUGUCUACUUAGCUGAAUCAUGUCUUUGUGUACUAAACAUCAAUUACUAGUAUUUGGCUUCUAUGUGCUAAUUAAACCCGAUAAAUAUAUAUAGUUCUUUGAGGUGCAAAUUCCAUAGUGCAUGUUUACGAGGUUAAGAUUCUACAGAUGUUGCAUAAUAUUGGUGACAAAGUGUCUCUCCUUAGGGGUUGAUUUAAAUAACAUAUGAUCUACUGAAAUAAAUUUUUUGGUGCCCAAACAUUGAAAUUCUGGUUCUUUGUUUCAAACACCAAAAUGUUGUUUACCUUGUCGUUCUAUGCUUAAAUGAUAAAAAUGUCUCAUUUAUAGGAAUGUAAACCUGAUGUAGAAUAGUAUUUACUUGUUGCUGUUAGUUACUACUUGUAUCCGCUGAUUUCUAUUCCUCAUUUUGCUUGUUUUACUCUUAUUUAUGCUCACGGACUGCCUACAAGUUAACAUGCUGUUAGAUUUGCCUUUACUUUGUUCCAAACCAUUUUGUUUGAUAACUUGCAGACGUUGUCCUUCAUUCAUGUUUCGUCGUGAGAUCUAGGACGAAGAAGUUGGGAGAAUCAUAAAGUUCUAGCUCAUUGGAGCUAGUUAUACUUGUAUGGCUAGUUAUUUUUUUUGGAUUUUUUAGUUGUGUUACCUGAUGUGAACUAGUUCUGAUUGUAAACCUCAUGUGAUCUUAGAACUAUUAUUGCUCUAGUCUGGUGGGAGUUGUGGAAGCAUAGGAAUGCUAUUGUUUUUGAAGGGGCGCGCCCUUGCUUGGAGUAUCUACUAGGGCGAGUGAGGCAUGAGGGCCAACUGUGGGCAUCGGCCGGGCUAAUGAAAGGGAAUGUAACUCCCUUCUUUACUAGAGUGGAGAGGUGGGAGAUGAGUGAGGAGUAAUAUGUAACAAAACCGUGUAAUUGUGGUGGAGGCUUUCUAUGCCUUUCUUCUUUAAUAUAUGAUAUGCACACUCAUGCAUAUUCGAAAAAAAUAAACCUCAUGUGAACCAUGUUUGAUUGCAAUGUGCCAAGUUUGGCUCUGUUUGAUUGUAUUCAUGAUGUGAACCAUGUUUUCAUGAUAUUUAGUUGUUCUUUGUUUGAAGCAUCGUCUAAUUAUUGGUUAUUUAUUUAUUGGAUCAUUGAAAUCUGAGGAAUAUAACCUUGACA